UUGAGUAACGAAAACAUUGGUAAGAAUCUAAUGCCCCGAAAACCCAAGGGUUCCUCCGUAAGGUUCGUCCACGGAGGGUAAGUCAAGGCCUAAGAUCGGGCCAAAAGGCAUUGUUGAUGGACAAUAGGUGAAUAUUUCUAUACUAUCCCUUGUUGGUCCCGAGGGAUGGAGGAGGCUAGGUUAGCUAAAAGAUGGUUAUCGAUUCAAGGACGUAAGGGGCCCCUAUUUUUUUAGGUUAAGAAGGGGUAGAGAAAUGCCCCGAGCUAAUGUUCGAGUACCAAGAGCUACGACGCUAAAGUAACCUAUGUUAUACUCCCCAAAAAAGCUCGAAUGACCUUCAACAAAACGGUACCUGUACCCGAAACCUACACAGGUGGGUAGGUAGAACCUAGGGCGCAAGACAACUCUCUCUAAGGAAGUUGGCAAAAUAGCCUUGUAACUUUAAGAGAAGGGGUGCCUCCUUACAAAAGGGGUCGUAAUGACCAGGCCCAGACGGCUAUUUACCAAAAACACAAGUCUCCGCAAAGUCGUAAAACCAUAUAUGGGAGCUGACACUUACCCAGUGCUGGAAGGUCAAGGAAGUUGGUGACCUGAUGACAGGGGAGCCGAUGAUUGAAGCCCGGUGAAUGGCGGCCGUAACUAUAACGGUCCUAGGGUAGCGAAAUUCCUUGUCGGGUAAGUUCUGACCCGCACGAAAGGAUAAUACUAGAUUCCACUGCAUUGUUAAAGAAUAUGUUAGAGA
rnacentral:ncRNA from 1 species